rnacentral:rRNA from 1 species
UUGGUGGAGAGUUUGAUCCUGGCUCAGGAUCAACGCUGGCGGCGUGCCUAAUGCAUGCAAGUCGAGCGGGCUGCCUUCGGGCAGUCACGCGGCGGACGGGUGCGGAACACGUGGGCAAUCUGCCCUGGGGCGGGGGAUAUCCCUCGGAAACGAGAGGUAAUUCCGCAUACGCUCGGCCUUUAGUAGGAAGGCUGAGGAAAGGCGCAAGCCACCCUAGGAGGAGCCUGCGGCCGAUUAGCUAGAUGGCGGGGUAACAGCCCACCAUGGCUGUGAUCGGUAGCUGGUCUGAGAGGACGGCCAGCCACACGGGGACUGAGACACGGCCCCGACUCCUACGGGAGGCAGCAGCAAGGAAUCUUCCGCAAUGGGCGAAAGCCUGACGGAGCAACGCCGCGU